rnacentral:rRNA from 1 species
GACGAACGCUGGCGGCGUGCUUAACACAUGCAAGUGGAGCGACGAACGGACUUCGGUCCGGGCAAAGCCGCGAACGGGUGAGUAACACGUGGGUUACCUGCCCUGAUGACCGGGACAACCCGAGGAAACUCGGGCUAAUACCGGAUGUGCCCGCAAGGGGAAAGGAAGCUUCGGCCUCCGCAUCAGGAUGGGCCCGCGGUGCAUUAGCUUGUUGGUGAGGUAACGGCUCACCAAGGCGACGAUGCAUAGCUGGUCUGAGAGGACGAUCAGCCACACUGGGACUGAGACACGGCCCAGACUCCUACGGGAGGCAGCAGUGGGGAAUCUUGCACAAUGCGCGAAAGCGUGAUGCAGCAACGCCGCGUGCGGGAAGACGGCCUUCGGGUUGUAAACCGCUUUCAGUUGGGACGAAGCUACGACGGUGAAUAGCCGACUGGAGUGACGGUACCUUCAGAAGAAGCCCCGGCUAACUACGUGCCAGCCGCCGCAGUAAGAC